AACUAAUCAAUUCUCCUUCCGGCUCAGGCUGCAUAGGUUAACAUUACGGGGAUGUCACGUGAUGAACGAACGACUCAAACCCGAAGACUCAAAAGAUGAACUAAUCAAUUCUCCUUCCGGCUCAGGCUGCAUAGGUUAACAUUACGGGGAUGUCACGUGAUGAACGAACGACUCAAACCCGAAGACUCAAAAGAUGAACUAAUCAAUUCUCCUUCCGGCUCAGGCUGCAUAGGUUAACAUUACAGGGCUGUCACGUGAUGAACGAACGACUCAAACCCGAAGACUCAAAAGAUGAACUAAUCAAUUCUCCUUCCGGCUCAGGCUGCAUAGGUUAACAUUACGGGGAUGUCACGUGAUGAACGAACGACUCAAACCCGAAGACUCAAAAGAUGAACUAAUCAAUUCUCCUUCCGGCUCAGGCUGCAUAGGUUAACAUUACAGGGCUGUCACGUGAUGAACGAACGACUCAAACCCGAAGACUCAAAAGAUGAACUAAUCAAUUCUCCUUCCGGCUCAGGCUGCAUAGGUUAACAUUACAGGGCUGUCACGUGAUGAACGAACGACUCA